ACUGAUCUCAUGAAAUGGUGUAUGAAUGACACGCCAAUUCGUAUCCCAUUAUUGGCGUGUUAUCAAGACACAUACGCUUUUUAGAGUGUUUAUCAAAGCCGUUUGGCCUCCAUUGACUUACAUUAUCUUGCGUUUGCUGUAUGUGCU